rnacentral:rRNA from 1 species
GACGAACGCUGGCGGCGUGCUUAACACAUGCAAGUCGAACGGUAAGGCCCUUCGGGGUACACGAGUGGCGAACGGGUGAGUAACACGUGGGUGAUCUGCCCUGCACUUCGGGAUAAGCCUGGGAAACUGGGUCUAAUACCGGCUAGGACCAUUGCCUGCAUGGGUGGUGGUGGAACGCUUUUGCGGUGUGGGAUGGGCCCGCGGCCUAUCAGUUUGUUGGUGGGGUGAUGGCCUACCAAGGCGACGACGGGUAGCCGGCCUCAGAGGGUGACCGGCCACACUGGGACUGAGAUACGGCCCAGACUCCUACGGGAGGCAGCAGUGGGGAAUAUUGCACAAUGGGCGCAAGCCUGAUGCAGCGACGCCGCGUGAGGGAUGACGGCCUUCGGGUUGUAAACCUCUUUUAGUAGGGAAGAAGCGAAAGUGACGGUACCCGCAGAAAAAGCACCGGCUAACUACGUGCCAGCAGCCGCAGUAA